GCUUGUCUCAAAGAUUAAGCCAUGCAUGUCUAAGUAUAAAUUAGUUUAUAUUUGAAACUGCGAAUGGCUCAUUAUAUCAGUUAUAGUUUAUUUGAUGGUCCUUACUAUUUGGAUAACCGUAGUAAUUCUAGAGCUAAUACAUGCGCCCAGACCCAACUUUUAGGAAGGGUUGUAUUUAUUAGGUACAGAACCAAUGCAAGCUCCGCUUGACCUUUUGGUGAUUCAUGGUAACCGAACGAAUCGCACGGCACCAGCUGGCGAUGGACCAUUUCAGUUUCUGACCUAUCAGCUUCCGACGGUAGGAUAUGGGCCUACCGUGGCAAUGACGGGUAGCGGAGAAUUAGGGUUCGAUUCCGGAGAGGGAGCCUGAGAAACGGCUACCACAUCUAAGGAAGGCAGCAGG
rnacentral:rRNA from 1 species